rnacentral:rRNA from 1 species
ACGAACGCCGGCGGCGUGCCUAACACAUGCAAGUCGAACGGACUCAUAUAGAAGUAGCAAUACGGAAAUAUGAGUUAGUGGCGGACGGGUGAGUAACACGUAGGUAACCUACCCUUAGGAAGGGGACAACUCAGGGAAACUUGAGCUAAUACCCUAUGAGACCACGUACAGAGAUGUAUGAGGUAAAAGUGGCAACACACCUAGGGAUGGGCCUGCGGCCUAUCAGGUAGUUGGUGAGGUAACGGCUCACCAAGCCAAAGACGGGUAGCCGGGCUGAGAGGUUGAACGGCCACACUGGAACUGAGAUACGGUCCAGACUCCUACGGGAGGCAGCAGUGGGGAAUCUUGCACAAUGGGCGAAAGCCUGAUGCAGCGACGCCGCGUGGAGGAUGAAGGCCUUCGGGUUGUAAACUCCUUUUCUUGGGAAAGAUGAUGACGGUACCCAAGGAAUAAGCCACGGCUAACUCUGUGCCAGCAGCCGCGGUAAGACAGAGGUGGCAAGCGUUGUUCGGAAUUACUGGGCUUAAAGGGCGAGUAGGCGGUGGAGCAAGUCUGAGGUGGAAUCUUAGGGCUUAACCCUAAAACUGCCUUAGAAACUGUUUCACUUGAGUCAGUGAGGGGAGGGCGGAAUUCCUGGUGUAGCGGUGAAAUGCGUAGAUAUCAGGAGGAAGGCCUGUGGCGAAAGCGGCCCUCUGGCACUGCACUGACGCUGAGGCGCGAAAGCGUGGGGAGCAAACAGGAUUAGAUACCCUGGUAGUCCACGCCCU